rnacentral:lncRNA from 1 species
CAUAAUUGGACAGGUGUUACCUCAAGUUUUACAUACAGUGAUGUUACAUACAGACUAUUUUGAAGAAAGUUCUUUUCUGUGGUGUACUUUAUAUCUUUUGCUAUGAAAGGUACUGUAGUUUAAUUCUUAAAAAAAAAAUGCAGUAGUAAUUUUUUGCUUUGCUCAGAUCUUUCUGGGACAAAAACCCAAACCUCUUUCUCUGUUUAUAUUUCCCAGAAGUCAGUAUAUAUUGGUGCCUGAGAACCCCUUGAUUUUUAGCAAUAAAUAUCCAAAAGACUGCUAAGGACACACAAAGCUUGGCUAGGAACUUAAAUCUGUUAAAUUGUCAAGUUAAUUAUACUUCCUAUCCAAGGACAUUGCAACAAAUGAUUAAA